rnacentral:rRNA from 1 species
CAAUAGCGUAUAUUAACGUUGUUGCAGUUAAAAAGCUCGUAGUUGGAUUUCUGGAGGGAGCGUCGGCCCGUAUUUACGAGUGCGUGACGUCUCUGUCCAUCCUUGCGGGAAGGCACGGCAUUGAUUUGUUGUGUCGGAUCGCAUCAUUUACUGUGAAAAAAUUAGAGUGUUCAAAGCAGGCUUUCGCUUGAAUACAUUAGCAUGGAAUAAUAAGAUAGGACUUUGGUGCUAUUUUGUUGGUUGAGCCUAAAGUAAUGAUUAAUAGGGAUAGUUGGGGGCACAUGUAUUGCGUUGUCAGAGGUGAAAUUCUUGGAUUUACGCAAGACAAACAGCUGCGAAAGCGUCUGCCAAGGAUGUUUUCAUUAA